GACGAACGCUGGCGGCGUGCUUAACACAUGCAAGUCGAACGGAAAGGCCCUGCUUUUGUGGGGUGCUCGAGUGGCGAACGGGUGAGUAACACGUGAGUAACCUGCCCUUGACUUUGGGAUAACUUCAGGAAACUGGGGCUAAUACCGGAUAGGAGCUACUGCUGCAUGGUGGGGGUUGGAAAGUUUCGGCGGUUGGGGAUGGACUCGCGGCUUAUCAGCUUGUUGGUGGGGUAGUGGCUUACCAAGGCUUUGACGGGUAGCCGGCCUGAGAGGGUGACCGGCCACAUUGGGACUGAGAUACGGCCCAGACUCCUACGGGAGGCAGCAGUGGGGAAUAUUGCACAAUGGGCGGAAGCCUGAUGCAGCAACGCCGCGUGCGGGAUGACGGCCUUCGGGUUGUAAACCGCUUUCGCCUGUGACGAAGCGUGAGCGACGGUAAUGGGUAAAGAAGCACCGGCUAACUACGUG
rnacentral:rRNA from 1 species